CACGUAGGGCGCAAGCGUUGUCCGGAAUUAUUGGGCGUAAAGAGCUCGUAGGCGGUCUGUUGCGUCCGCUGUGAAAACUCGGGGCUUAACCCCGAGCCUGCAGUGGAUACGGGCAGACUAGAGGUAGGUAGGGGAGAAUGGAAUUCCCGGUGUAGCGGUGAAAUGCGCAGAUAUCAGGAGGAACACCCGUGGCGAAAGCGGCUCUCUGGGACGGUACUGACGCUGAGACGCGAAAGCGUGGGGAGCGAACAGG
rnacentral:rRNA from 1 species